AAAACGGACACGAUUCAACCCGGUGGUAUGGGUGGGGCGCAAAGGUAAAGCCGACCCAAAGCAUAAUCCCAUUCCGCACCGAUAAGCCGUAAGCUAACAUCAGUCAAAGGCGAAGUAUGUAGCAUGCUGGGCGACCCCGUAGCGCACACAGACACACACACAUACACCCGAACACACUUCAGCCGUUGAUGAUUGGUAUGGCCGACCCGGUAAGGAUGGGACCACUUCAAACCGUGCACCGUGAUCUCGAUGGAAAAUCCCUGCACAUGAAACGAAAUUUUAUCCCACCAUCCCGGUACAACCGAUGGAGCCACAUUCGCCCUCUCAAGAGGCACUCAUUUUGGUUGACUAAUUUCCGUAGAGGGGGUGGUACCGUUCGUGUGUGUGAGUGUGUUCUACCUGGCGAGAACCCUACACAAUACACACAUCACAUUACGUUCCACCGUUUGAACUUUAUUUUAUUACACUUCAUUGUUAUUGUUAUAGCGCUCGUUGUCGUUGUUAGAUACUUUACACACUCAUUCACAUUGCCGGUCAACUUGUUCACUCAUGGACACACACACGGACACCCACACAUGGUACUCGUGCAUGUAAAAAACGACCAUCAUCAAUUCAUAAAUACCACCUGUGCCACCUGGAUGAAGGGGCCACAAAAUGGCCGGGCCGUGGGGAGGGUGGAAACCCCAAGCGCCACUGAACCGAAAUAGUAGCGUGGCUGGGCAAAAGGGGGUUUUGUUUAUUUAUUUAUCACUGACAUUUUUGCUAUCGCUAUUCCUUUUACUUUAUGUUUGUCUAUAUCAGUGAUUUUUUUUUUCGUUCUUAUCGUUGCAGCUCUGUUAUUCUACCAAAUCCUAUGCUCAGCUGGAAUGUUUGCAGGAUCACUGAAUUAAAUCGGGCGCAACGUAUCACUGUGCACAAGCAGCGUCGAAUAAACAGGUGCGGUUCGGGGCGGGGAACGGAUUGCAUCGGAUGGUUUGUAGUAGCAGAGAAAAAAAUGUGAGCUAUAGAAUGAGGGAAAACUUCAUCCCAAGACAAAGUGUUGGCAACGAGAUGGAACAUGAUGCAUGCAAACGAUCACUGACACACUUGUUUACCGUUUGGAAAUUGGAACGGUUCUUUGGGCGAUGUUUGGGAUGAAUUCCUUCCGCCAGGGAAGGAGUAGAGCAGAUGAGUAAGUAGCUCUUGUUGCUUUUAAAAAUAAAUAAUCUAUUUUAUAAAGUGGGAGUUUUUCAUGUUCAAAUUCUAACAAAAAAGGUAC